rnacentral:rRNA from 1 species
CCUACGGGGUGCUGCAGUGGGGAAUAUUGGACAAUGGGCGAAAGCCUGAUCCAGCCAUGCCGCGUGUGUGAAGAAGGCCUUCGGGUUGUAAAGCACUUUCAGUGGGGAAGAAAGCCUUGGGGCUAAUACCCUCGAGGAAGGACAUCACCCACAGAAGAAGCACCGGCUAACUCCGUGCCAGCAGCCGCGGUAAUACGGAGGGUGCGAGCGUUAAUCGGAAUUACUGGGCGUAAAGCGCGCGUAGGCGGUCUGAUAAGCCGGUUGUGAAAGCCCCGGGCUCAACCUGGGAACGGCAUCCGGAACUGUCGGGCUAGAGUGCAGGAGAGGAAGGUGAAAUUCCCGGUGUAGCGGUGAAAUGCGUAGAGAUCGGGAGGAAUACCAGUGGCGAAGGCGGCCUUCUGGACUGACACUGACGCUGAGGUGCGAAAGCGUGGGUAGCAAACAGGAUUAGAUACCCUAGAGUC